rfam:Thiothrix lacustris isolate A8 Ga0073116_1141, whole genome shotgun sequence.
GUCAACUCCCCCGCCCUAAAGGACGGAGCUUGCAAGAGCUAGGUUGACCAGACUCAGUGCUGCAAGGCACUACGCAGAUAAGAGGUCGUUAAGACUUACCAAGGGAUGCUUCCUUAGUCCCUUGCUCUAAAAGGUCGUGAUCAUGCUGGCGCAAGGUAAAACGCCGAAGGUUGCAAUCGUUACUGGGAACAGUAAGAGCCGCUUAUCUGCAUUGUCGAGGGGAGAUUGCC